CCUACGGGAGCAGCAGUGGGGAAUAUUGGACAAUGGGGGAAACCCUGAUCCAGCGACGCCGCGUGUGUGAAGAAGGCCUGCGGGUUGUAAAGCACUUUUAGUGGGGAUGAAAAGCUCAGGGCUAACACCUCUGGGUCUUGACCUAACCCACAGAAAAAGCACCGGCUAACUCUGUGCCAGCAGCCGCGGUAAUACGAAGGGGGCUAGCGUUGUUCGGAAUUACUGGGCGUAAAGCGCGCGCAGGCGGUCCUUCAAGUCAGUGGUGAAAGCCCGGAGCUCAACUCCGGAAUUGCCAUUGAUACUCUGGAGCUGGAGUACGGGAGAGGAGAGUGGAAUUCCCAGUGUAGAGGUGAAAUUUGUAGAUAUUGGGAAGAACACCGGUGGCGAAGGCGGCUCUCUGGACCGAGACUGACGCUGAGGCGCGAAAGCGUGGGGAGCAAACAGGAUUAGAUACCCUGGUAGUCCACGCCGUAAACGAUGUGUGCUAGACGUUGGGGAGCCUAGCUCUUCGGUGUCGCAGCCAACGCAGUAAGCACACCGCCUGGGGAGUACGGCCGCAAGGUUAAAACUCAAAGGAAUUGACGG
rnacentral:rRNA from 1 species